rnacentral:rRNA from 1 species
AUUGAACGCUGGCGGCAUGCCUUACACAUGCAGGUCGAACGGCAGCACGGGAGCAAUCCUGGUGGCGAGUGGCGAACGGGUGAGCAAAGUAUCGGAACGUGCCCAGUCGUGGGGGAUAACGUAGCGAAAGUUACGCUAAUACCGCAUACGAUCUAUGGAUGAAAGCGGGGGAUCGCAAGACCUCGCGCGAUUGGAGCGGCCGAUAUCAGAUUAGGUAGUUGGUGGGGUAAAGGCUCACCAAGCCGACGAUCUGUAGCUGGUCUGAGAGGACGACCAGCCACACUGGGACUGAGACACGGCCCAGACUCCUACGGGAGGCAGCAGUGGGGAAUUUUGGACAAUGGGCGAAAGCCUGAUCCAGCCAUGCCGCGUGCAGGAUGAAGGCCUUCGGGUUGUAAACUGCUUUUGUACGGAACGAAAAGGUUUGGCCUAAUAAGCUGAGCUCAUGACGGUACCGUAAGAAUAAGCACCGGCUAACUACGUGCCAGCCGCCGCGGUAA